CGCGGCCUAUCAGCUUGUUGGUGAGGUAACGGCUCACCAAGGCAUCGACGGGUAGCUGGUCUGAGAGGACGAUCAGCCACACUGGGACUGAGACACGGCCCAGACUCCUGCGGGAGGCAGCAGUGGGGAAUCUUGCGCAAUGGGCGAAAGCCUGACGCAGCAACGCCGCGUGGGGGAUGAAGGCUCUCGGGUUGUAAACCCCUUUCAGCAGGGACGAAAUUGACGGUACCUGCAGAAGAAGCCCCGGCCAACUACGUGCCAGCAGCCGCGGUGACACGUGGGGGGCGAGUGUUGUCCGGAAUUAUUGGGCGUAAAGAGCUCGUAGGCGGUUUAGUAAGUCAGAUGUGAAAGGUUGGGGCUCAACCCUAAGACUGCAUCCGAUACUGCUAUGACUAGAGUCCGGUAGAGGAGUGUGGAAUUCCUGGUGUAGCGGUGAAAUGCGCAGAUAUCAGGAGGAACACCGACGGCGAAGGCAGCACUCUGGGCCGGUACUGACGCUCAGGAGCGAAAGCGUGGGUAGCAAACAGGAUUAGAUACCCUGGUAGUCCACGCCGUAAACGUUGGGCACUAGGUGUGGGGCCUUAUCGACGGGUUCCGUGCCGUAGCUAACGCAUUAAGUGCCCCGCCUGGGGAGUACGG
rnacentral:rRNA from 1 species